UUACUCUAUAGGAAGCUGUAGGAAAGAUCAAGAAAAGACAGGAAAAGGAGCCCUUCACAAGAUGCCAUCCUCUUUUCACCUAAAGAGCCAUUCUUUUCCAAGGGUCUCCAAAGAGCUCAUUCAUUGUUUGGAGAACUAUAGCUGCCAGUCAUGAUUUGUCAAAAUCCAUUCCUCCUGCGAAGAGGCCCACCAGUUCCUGUUUGCUGCCACGAAGCGGCACCUCAUCUGCAGUGUGCAAAAGAUGGUUGUUGUGCAUGGUUAGAAGGGUGUUUAUGUUACUUGCCUAGGAAUUCUGAUGCUGGGGAUUUGCAUGUUAAUGAUAACAUUUUACUUCUAAAAUGUGCUAUUUUUUACUGACUUUUAAACUUAAAAAUAUGAAAUAGAGGCCAUUGUCCUUCAAGGUCUCACAUUGAUUGUAUCAGUGAAAAUUCAGUUUACUUCACUGUUUGAGAUCUUUUUUUCCUUAUGUUAACAUCUCUAGGAAGCUUGUGUUAAGUUCAGAAAAUUGAGCUGUAUUCUUUCCAGCUUCUGUGUUCCAUUGCCAGAAAGAAAGAUCCUGCCAGCUAAAUCUAUCCUUGGUUAGACUUCUGAAUAUGCAUCGAGGACUAAUAAACAGAGUUGCUUUG
rnacentral:lncRNA from 7 species